CAAGAUCUAUUUUCCUCGAUAGUAUAUAAGUUCCACCUCUUACCCAACCCCCCAAGGCAUACCUACCUUCGUCUCUAACCUAGAGACACCACAGAACCUUCCUCCCAUGACCACCAUCCUUGCCUACCGAAAAUUGCCUCACGGCAGUUCCGGUGGUCCAAACUCCACUAUUUUUACACCAUGAACUCACCUCAACCUCCUCUACCCAACCAUCACCAUAGCUCACCUCGAAUCGGACCCCAACCAUUCGAAUCUUAAAUCGAAGGUUGGCCGGAAAACCAACCUUCUUCGAUGGCCACCAAACCAACCUCCUAAGACCACCAGACCAUCCUUAUACCCAAACCAUUACCAGUUUCCUUCGAAUCAAUCGAGAAUCCUUCGAAUCUUAAUUUGUAUCCAAGAAUCCUAGCGCCGCCACAAAAUCCCCUGGUGGCGGCGCCAAACCUAAUCUUCCCCAUAUUCACACCACACCACCCCUUGACCUCCCUCAAACCCAAAACACCACUAGCCUGGUUCAAAUUAACUUAGAACCGGAGGAUCCCAAAUCAAACCAAAACCCUAAAAUAAGACCAAGUCGUAAUUGGUCCAGAAAAGGAAAAUUGGGAUGUCAAUUUACUUUGGUCGAGUGUUUUCAGCCGAUAACACUCAAUUAAAGUCCCUUUUCACCCCAAAAAGGUUCAAGUCAGAGCCCAAGUUAGGUCGUCCAGUGUCCUAUUUUCCGUGGUAUUUUCCCUUUCUUGUUUGUUUCUAUUUUUGUUUUGAUUAUCUGUUUAAGUUAAGUGAUAGUUUAAUUUCCCUCCAUCAUCGUUCUUCUUCUUCUCAAAAUAGACUCUUUUAUUUGGUCAAACUAUUUCUGUUCGUUUGUUUAGUAUGCGUUAUAGGCUAUAUAAUUGUAUUAAUUAAUUCAUCGAUUGUUUAAUUUCCUGUUAGCCCCUAUCUUUUGUCAAUAUCACUGAAAUCACCUGUAAAUUGCCUGAUAUUGUGUUUAUGAUUGUUCUAUGCAAUCGUUUAAUUAGUUUCGUCGAUUAAUUAGUUCCAUAUUAGCACCCUGUUCUGUGUAAAGUUAUUCAAAUCACAUGUUUACUUAUUUUAUUUCGAUUGUUUGUUAUAUAUAAUCAAUUGCUUAAGCCUCGUCGAUUAGGUCAUUCGUAUAGUUUUGAAUCAUUUGGCUUCCUGUUUGGCCUAUGUAAUAACAUUGGCAUUCUGUUAGUUUCUUGAUUAAUUAGGAUCUUGUUUGAUUUAUAGCUGCAAUUGGGUUACAGCUGUAGUAAUUCAAGUAUUCAAUUGGAAUUUUAGCUUAGGAGUCAAUUGUAGGUUAGAACAGAUCUUAGAAUUUGUUUACUGGAUUAGUGCAAUGAUAAUAGGAUCUUCAGGAAUUUUAGAAAUAGAAAAAUGAGAAAAUUUUGUUUACUAAUAGUAGUGGGAAGUGGGGUACCCAAUUCCAUUAAUUUAAUGUAAUAGUGGGGAACAAGAGGGAAUUGAGGAAUAAAAGAGGGAAACAUUAAGGCUUUGUGAAUAAGCAGUUCCAUAAGCUCCAGUUACAAUUCGCUGACCGAGUAGCUACAACUUCAAGAGGGGAAUUCGCGUAAAAGUGGGCUUUUGUUUUUGCUUCCUCGAACGGGUGGAGAAAGAUUUUUAUUACCCUUUAUUCCAGGGGAAGGGAGUUGGUUUAUAACCAGACUCUGAAGUUUUCUACUAGGUAGAGUAUUUCAAAAAAAUAAGCUAGAAUAGAGGGCGUGAUAGUCCAAUUCUACAUAGUUCUGUGAUCCGCCGAACGAAGUGGUUCCAACGAACCGGACCGGGAGAGAGAAAGAAUUCUUUUUUCAAGGCUGCCGGUGGGCUGGGCCCGAGCUCGGUUUGGAAGGAAGCCUCUUUAGAUGAGAAGGAGGAUGCUACCAAGGCGAGAAGGAAGAAGGGGAGUUCCACUAUCUGAGUUAGGCCGAUAUCAUUAGAUAGGUAGGCUGAUCUCCGCUUUUGGAUUCCUAUUAAGGGCAAGAGUGAGACUUGUCUAUUCCUACUAAAGGAAAGAGAUCUAACGGGAUUGAGUAGGGAAAAGUUAAUAGGCAAAGGGUAUUAGGGGGGCCGUUAAGGAAUAAGGGGUGGGCCUAAUACUUUUGCUAAUUGGAAAUUUGCAACAGUGGGUAAUAAUGAAAAGUUAAAAUGUUUCACAUAGAGAGGAAUAUUAAAAGCUAGAAAGCAAAAGAAACUUAGGGGUAAUAAUAAAAAAUCCUUCUUACAGCUAUAAAGAGAAAAAGGGGGCAGGAAAGAGGGGUCUGCUUUGGGGUAUAAAUGAGAGGAUGUAGGACAUAGUUUAGGGGACUUGGACGGAGAAUAAGAGGAUUUUUUAGAGUUAAAAAAAUACUGAGAGUACACACAUAGGAAUAAGCAGAAAGACUAAGAAGAGGUAGUCUAGAGUCUUAAGAAUUCGUAUAGGGGGUUUUCUUUUAUUAGUUUUAAAGUUCAUAUUGGCUGGCUUUUGAAUGCAAAGAUAUUAGUUUGAAAGCAAAAAAGUGUCUGGAUUUGGAAUACAAAAGUUCAGUUAGUUUUGACAGUUAAAGAACAAAAAAAUUUGCUUCCCUUUUAUUGCUGAAAUCAACAUUUGUUUCUGUUACUGUUUCAUUUAGAGCUGUUGGUAUUUUCUGGAAGUCUACUGAUCUAUUUUCUGGUUCAAACUCAAGUUCUUCGGUCAUAUUGUGGGUGUUUGUGUUGUUGUUGGUAUUUUGGUAUCAUCAUUGGUUUUCUAAUGUGUUUGUGUUGCUGGUUGGUGUUUCUGAAAAUUGCAAACUGGUUUUACUGAGUGUGCUACUGGACCUCUAUUACUCUGUUACUGUUGCUGGAUGUUGCUUUUUGCUACUGCUGUUUGUUAUUGCUGCUGACUUUUCUCUCCUUCUUCUUCUACUUUUAAUUCCAGGUACAGGUCGUGAACUAUGGAGAAGUGAUGUACAAUUUUAAGAAGUGGAAGUGAAAUUUUGUUUUUCUCCAUCUACUGUAUUUAGUCAUAGUUUAAUUCCGUUGAUUUCUAUAUUUGCUAAUUGUAUUUUGUAAUAAAAUUUGGUUUGAUGGACUGCUAGGAGUGCUUGAGUAGUUAGAUUUGUAUUUGUGGUCAAAAUAAUGGAAUGGAUCGAUAUGUACGGGAUCAUUUGAGUUUACUUGACCAGAUUCAUGUGAGUUCUAUUGGUUAAACCUUAGGUUGUAAUUAUAUUCACUAUAGUUGGUAGAACAAGGUCUUAAAUAGUUGAAGCUAACUCCACUGGUUGUUCCAAAGUAAUAAAGUUGUUUGGAUCACUAGAUGAACAUAUUGCUGAAUAGGAAUGCUAUAGGUAAUUAAACCAUGUAAUCAGUUGUUAGUUUGUCUAUUUGAAUCCAUUUCAUGAGUGUUCUAUUAAGUCAAGUCUUUGGUGCUUAAUUUCGUGCAGUCUCCUAGUUGUCAAAAAUAAUCUAAGAAUGGUAUUCUUGUUCAAUUUGUGAUCGAAUUUGGACGAAUAGUUAAAUCCGUGGUCCAAGGUGCACGUUUCAACCCGUUAGCUAAUAGCUUAAUUUUAAAUCGUCCAUCCUCUCUAGUAUUCAUAUGUUUGGUACUUAUAUUUUUCUCUGUUUUGAUUCACGGUGUCACGGCCCAAAUCCGAGGGACAUGACCGGCACUCAACCGGGUAUCCCCAGUCGGGUGGACCUGGGUGCCUUUCCUGACCCACGAGCUACCCCACAUUUUCAUUACUUACUAACCUAAUGGAAACUACAGUAUAUAAUUAAAACAACUUUUUAUAAACUAUACAUACAUAGAUCAUAUUAACGUGGUUUACAAUUUACAUCACCCAAAAUACGAGGUACAUAAUACAUGGUUCG
rnacentral:lncRNA from 1 species